AUUGAACGCUGGCGGCAUGCCUUACACAUGCAAGUCGAACGGUAACAGGUCUUCGGAUGCUGACGAGUGGCGAACGGGUGAGUAAUACAUCGGAACGUGCCUAGUAGUGGGGGAUAACUACUCGAAAGAGUGGCUAAUACAGCAUGCGAUCUACGGAUGAAAGCAGGGGAUCGCAAGACCUUGUGCUACUAGAGCGGCCGAUAGCAGAUUAGGUAGUUGGUGGGAUAAAAGCUUACCAAGCCGACGAUCGGUAGCUGGUCUGAGAGGACGAUCAGCCACACUGGGACUGAGACACGGCCCAGACUCCUACGGGAGGCAGCAGUGGGGAAUUUUGGACAAUGGGCGCAAGCCUGAUCCAGCAAUGCCGCGUGCAGGAUGAAGGCCUUCGGGUUGUAAACUGCUUUUGUACGGAACGAAAAGCCCUGGGUUAAUACCCUGGGGUCAUGACGGUACCGUAAGAAUAAGCACCGGCUAACUACGUGCCAGCCGCCGCGGUAAUAC
rnacentral:rRNA from 1 species